UUUCUCUCUUUUUCACCCUUUUUUCGUUCUCCUUUUCUGUGACCACUGUUGCUCUCCCCUCUCCCUCCUUUUCUCCCGUUUCACUCAAAUUACUCUGGCUUUCUUCUUCUUCUUCAAAGUUAAAAAACUUUGAAUUUGUUUUGUUUUGUCACAAAGGAAACUGCCUAGCAAGGGAGCUGCUGGGUAGCGGAGGAAGCUAGAAUUGCGGUAUCACAACUUGACGUUGGAUCAGAUCCAGAGCGGAACCAGCCAGGUGUUCCUCCGUGAAGCAAGGAGGGGAAAUCUGGGCUGUGGGUUCGUCGAGUUUUAUAAGAGGGAGAGAAAUCAAUUUGAAGCAAAGAGGGGGUUGACUUCGCGGGAGACUGGCAUUACGACGACUUCAGGGCUUACUCUAUCAAUUAAUUUGUCCCGGUGGAGCUGGAUCCCUUUGUUUUUUGUCCUCAGUAUGUGCUCCCAUGUCCAGUUAUUGAAGAUGACAAGCACAGUUGUCCCUAGUCCAAUUGUUCAUGAACUUCUAAACAAAAAUAACUACGAAGAAUGGAGUUUGCUAGUUAAAAACCUACCUGUUGGCAAAAGAUCUUUGGGACGUCGUGGAAGCCACCACUGAGCCUCCUAGACGAGAAGAUGGCGAAGUUGAAUUUAAUGCUUGGAGGAAGCGUAAUGCCAAGGCUUUGCACUCCAUCCAGAUUUCUUGUGGGGCCGAUACUCUUUCUUCUAUUAUGGGAGCCAGUACAGCCAAAGUUGCCUGGGAUAUUUUGGCAGAAAAGUUGAAGCCAGCUGAAGCAUCCCAAGCCACAGGAACCGGUACGUGCACCUUCGCCUUUUCCAUAUAAUUAGGCAUUUGUCUUUGGAAUUAGCUUGGAUCCUCACAGGACUUGGAGAAGUUCAUUAUCAAAAUACUUUGUGAUUGAUUUAUAGAAUUUUAUUCUUGUGAUCAAAAUUGUUAAUGUUAUAAAUCACUUGGU